rnacentral:rRNA from 1 species
GCGUGCUUAACACAUGCAAGUCGAACGAUGAUGCCCAGCUUGCUGGGUGGAUUAGUGGCGAACGGGUGAGUAACACGUGAGUAACCUGCCCCUGACUCUGGGAUAAGCGUUGGAAACGACGUCUAAUACUGGAUAUGAUCACUGGCCGCAUGGUCUGGUGGUGGAAAGAUUUUUUGGUUGGGGAUGGACUCGCGGCCUAUCAGCUUGUUGGUGAGGUAAUGGCUCACCAAGGCGACGACGGGUAGCCGGCCUGAGAGGGUGACCGGCCACACUGGGACUGAGACACGGCCCAGACUCCUACGGGAGGCAGCAGUGGGGAAUAUUGCACAAUGGGCGAAAGCCUGAUGCAGCAACGCCGCGUGAGGGAUGACGGCCUUCGGGUUGUAAACCUCUUUUAGUAGGGAAGAAGCGAGAGUGACGGUACCUGCAGAAAAAGCACCGGCUAACUACGUGCCAGCAGCCGCGGUAAUACGUAGGGUGCAAGCGUUGUCCGGAAUUAUUGGGCGUAAAGAGCUCGUAGGCGGUUUGUCGCGUCUGCUGUGAAAUCCCGAGGCUCAACCUCGGGCUUGCAGUGGGUACGGGCAGACUAGAGUGCGGUAGGGGAGAUUGGAAUUCCUGGUGUAGCGGUGGAAUGCGCAGAUAUCAGGAGGAACACCGAUGGCGAAGG